rnacentral:tRNA from 1 species
GGAGUCGUGACCGAGUGGCCGAAGGUGCUCCCCUGCUAAGGGAGUAAGUGGGCAAAACCUGCUUCGAGAGUUCGAAUCUCUCCGACUCCGCCA